AGCGGGCAGGCCUACCAACUCUCCGCUUGCUCUCUCGGCGGCCCCACCACGAUUCACGAUGCACACUUGGUAGCGAUAGGUGUGCGCGAUCUGUCUCGGGGAACCGGUGAAAUCGUUUUGAAGAACGCCGAUCUCCCAGAUAAAGGGAAAAUAAAAGAAACAUCGAAUAAUAUCGAAUUACAAAUCCUCAUCUUGGAAUUUCAAAUAACGGGAAAAGAUAAGUAUGAAGAUCCUGCAUAUACAUAGAUGCAAGUAACGAUUCACAAUAAUUCUGAUCAAUCCAUUACCUGGAACACCUUUAAUCAUUCAGUUACUGUUAGCAACCCACGCUAUUUGCAAGAUUGAAAUUGCGUAACCCUAAAUCAUAGUGAUUAUAACAUUCUAACGGUACAAUUACAUUUGACAUUAAUGCUAGAUAUAUAGAUAUAUCUGUACACACCCUCCUAUAUAUGAAUUAUUUAGGCCAUGUAUGUUCAUAGCUACUUUAUUAAAGAAGAACAGCUGAAGAAAACAAUAGCUAUUUGAACCUAAUAAAAUAAAAUUUCUAAAUAAAUUUUCUGCACAAAUACAAAAAUGUACUCAAAAGCGCGUGCAACUAAUGCAUAACGAAAUUCGAUAUCCAUUUACAUGUGUAGUAUCAAUCUUUUUAAUUUUGCUAAAAUUCAUAAUAAAAUCUAAGAAAAUAAAGUUAAUUGCAGCAAUGUAAAAUGAACAAGCAACAUUUUUGUAACUGUGAAAUAACAAGUCUUCAAAUGUGUGAGUGAAUAAAAUAGUAAAAAUUUAUAUCUAAUCUAUUAUACGCAAUCCAUUACCUGUAAUUUCUUAUAUCAGCGAGUGAAACUUAUAAUAUCGUAAUUUACGCAGAAUUUAGAUAUAGAAAUAAAUUCAUUGUGUUAAAAAAAAUUUCAUGAAAGUAACAAAUAUAAUGACCUAUUAAUAUUAAUUAUUUAUCAUUUUAUCUAUUUUUGCUAAAGAAAUCAGUAAUAUACUCUUAACUACGUAGAGUACAAAAUAUUUUAUUCUAAUUCAGUCAUUACAUUGUUUAUUCUAAUUAUUAGUUACAGAUGCAAAAUAUAACAUUCCAAACAAUCACCGAAAUCGUAGCAGAACUUUAAGAUACGAUGAAAAAGAAUAGUUUACGUCGCACAGUAAUCAUCCUAGCAGGAUUCGCAUCAUCCACGGGCAAACUUCAUAACAUCCUACCCAAGAUCGCACUAAAGAUAAGCUGCUCGUGCAUAAAACAUAAUUUGCAACGAAUGAAUCGUAACAGAACGAUUUUACGACAAAAAAUAGAAAAGACGUUAAUUUUUCACACGAUCCUCGGUAGUCUUGGUUAGCAAUGACUGAGCAUUCGAACUUAGGAUAUUCGAUUAUCGAUUAUCACUUAUUCGUGUCUCCAUCAUCUCAAGCACUGGCACAGCAGAGAGAAUUCUCCAAGGUGGCUUCUGGUCUAUGACUUAUUGUUAGUCAUAUCGACCGACACUCGUCGUAUAUUUUCUGACCCAGAAAGAGAUUCUUACGAGCGGAGAAGCGGAGUCGAGAAACAAGUAGUGGAUCGAGUCGACCUAAACGCCUAACACGUCUAUUGCUUUACUGCCGACAACUGAGGAAAUUAAAUAUCUCAUUACUGCACAACUUCAGAAUUCCUAUUAUUUAAGAUUCACAAUUUACAUUACAAACAUUUGGUCAUAAUACAAAUACUAAUGCAAAUACUAAUAUCGUUUUGCAUUACAACCUUGGCAUGUAAAGCAACCAGUAACACAGGUGCGAGCGUGAUAUAAUAUCAUUUCCUUUAGCAUCGCAACCUGCGUUUGACUCACGAGAUAAUCAAUUAUGGUUUCUGUUAAGAGAAAACGAAUACAGCAAGUAUAUAUUCACUGACAUCUGCCUGUUAAUUUAAUUGACAGAGUAUCGGAGGAAAAGGAGAAACAGAAGAAAAAUAUAGAAAUAUCUUUUCAAAUUAUACAACAGAAUAUUGUAAUUCAAAGAUUAAAUUUUAUAACUGUAUUUAUUUUUUAUUCUAAUUUUAGAUAAUACCUAUUUAUCAGAGUAAAUAUAGUAAUGCAGUGUAGGUACACAUAAACAAUAUCUAAAGAAGAUAUUCUUAUUCUUCUUAAAAAAGCUCAUAAAAAAAUUACUUUUGUAAGCUGUUUAAGCGCGUAAUGCGUGGAACAAUCAUACUUUUAGAAGGGUUAGUUAUAAUACUUACAAUCCCAUUAAAUCUACAUGCAACCGAUUACACGAUAAUGAGCAUGAGUUUGACAAAGUUAGGGGAACUAGCAAUGAUUAUAGUUUACUAUAUUACAUAUCGGGUAUAAUUUAUUGUAGCGUUUUGCUGUUUUCAAAAUAUUUCGGAUUAACACUAAUAACGUAGACUUUGCAAAGUAUUUUUUCCAUAACGAAGUUUUUUUUUUAAGAGAACAUCUACUAAAUUGUGUCUUUUAAUCUAAUAAACUACAUAAAUAAAAUUUAAAAUCAACCUACUUUUUCUAUAUCUUUUACUUUUACAGUUAUCGAUAUAUAUGAAAUGUACUAAGCAUGAUCUUAACUUCGUUCACAAUUGCACAUCGUUGAAAACAAACUGACCUUAAAAAUAUCAUUUUUAUUUAAAAGCGUGUUAAAAGAGAAACUACAAUACAAAUGUAAGUUUCUUCCGCUUUCUUAUUUUCUUCUUUCACAUGAAGUCGCUGGAACUUCUGGAUACAGACAUAGCUUGUACAUUUUAGGCGACGUGUAAUUGUGAAAGGUUCCUCCUGUGUUAUAGCGUAAUGAAAUCGAAAUAAAGAAAUCGUUGUGAGCACACCUUUACACAGUGUCUUAGAGAGAGGAACCACUUAGGUAGAGCCAUAGUAACUCUAUAACAUAAGCGUGCCAGUUGGUGGCAAAUUUGCGGAUGCGUGCAAUUGGCAUUGCCUAUGCCCUGCGUAUACCUAUAUGUUGGCAAUGGCAAACCGGCUGUCCAAUCGGCAGCUAUGAAGCAGUUAACUUAAUAUAGGCGCACUCGGAAUGUGUGCCAUCGACGACCUCGAGGCCUUCCCUAGGUCAGUGCUAAUUCUCCAGAACCGACCACCUCUUCCGAAUUUCCGGUCAACCUUUAAGACAUCGCCGACGUUGAUCAGAAGCCACUAUCUUAUUAUAACCGAUCUGUCUAUCUCUCUUUCUCUUUUUCUUUUCUAUCUUUUCAUCCUAUCUCUUCAAAGUAUGAGCAAGAAUUUCUUCUCUAGUAAUAACUAUAAUUGAUUUCCUAUCGAUGAAAUCCGUAUUUCAUAGUACUUUAUUAUUCAUUCAUAUUUUUCUCUGAUAAAUAGAAGUGGUAACUAAAGUGUAAUAGUACAGAUCCAACGGUGAUCGAAGAAAUUUACUUUACACAGCGUAAAUAUAAAUGAUAACGCGGAAUAUAGUGAUUCACUGAUUCCUGAAUUAAAGUUUUAUCAAUAGCUGUUUAUACAAUAUACGGAAAAUACUAUGAAAAACGCUUGCUCUGUAAAUAUCAAAUGAGUUUCAAAACUAUUAUACAAAUAUAGGUGUAAAUUGUUACAUACGUAUAAAACUACAUAUAUUCGUUUUUAGAAAGUCAAUGAAAGUUUCCAUAUAUUAUUUGGAAAUAUGAAACAUGCUACGAUAUAUUAAAUUAUUAUUAUUUUAUUAUUAUUUUUAUUAUUAUUAUUAAUAUUAUUUUUCAAAUAAUUCAGUUCUCUGAAAAUGUAGAUGACGAAACAUAUAUUAUAUGAAGAUAUGUACUUUUCUUUGCGAAUAGCGUCUCUUAGAAAUGUAUCAGUCUCCAACGUAUGAAAAGUCGCCUUGUCUGAUUCCAAGAAUAUUUCGUAUUUAUCCACCUACCUACUCCCGAUAUCGAUAUUGCCAGGCAAUCGAGAAAAUUUGCAGCAACAUAUUUGCAGUACGAACGGUAACCAAUAACGACGAAUUGAAGAAUGUAAUUUCAAUCAAAGAAUUGAGGAGCUACUAAUAAAAUUUUAAUGAAAUCCUACAACAAUUUCUAUACAAAUUCUUUCAUUACUAUGUAAAAUUGUAUAUAUAUGUAUGAUGUUAAAUUGGUACGAGAAUCGUUUGUUUCCUUUUCUUUGAUCGUAGGUGUUUCUUAGCCAAGUUGCGUGUUAUAACAUCA